GUGAGGAAUAUUGCGCAAUGGAGGCAACUCUGACGCAGCCAUGCCGCGUGCAGGAAGAAGGCGCUACGCGUUGUAAACUGCUUUUAACCGGGAAGAAACCCCAGGACGUGUCCUGGGUUGACGGUACCGGAGGAAUAAGCACCGGCUAACUUCGUGCCAGCAGCCGCGGUAAUACGAAGGGUGCAAGCGUUAUCCGGAUUCAUUGGGUUUAAAGGGUGCGUAGGAGGAGCGUUAAGUCAGUGGUGAAAUCCUGCAGCUUAACUGUAGACUUGCCAUUGAUACUGGCGCUCUUGAGUGCGCUUGAAGUGGGCGGAAUGUGCCGUGUAGCGGUGAAAUGCUUAGAUAUGGCACAGAACACCAAUUGCGAAGGCAGCUCACUAAGGCGAUACUGACGCUGAGGCACGAAAGCGUGGGGAUCGAACAGGAUUAGAAACCCGUGUAGUCC
rnacentral:rRNA from 1 species